GGUUGCAACACCCCCGUGGGUUGGGUGAAGGCUCGGUGAGCUGACACAGUGAAUCCACUGCAGCC
rnacentral:sRNA from 1 species